GGUUUAGGGUUUAUGGUCUAGGGUUUUGGGCUUAGGGUUUUGGGCUUAGUGUUUCGGGUUUAAGGUUUAGGGUUUAGGGUUUUGGCCUUUGCGUUUAGGGUAUAGAGUUUAGGGUUUAGUGUUUAGGGUUUAGGAUUUUGGGUAUAGGAUUUAGGGUUUAGGGUUUAGGUAGGGGGCUAGGUGGGGGAAGGUGUGCAAGGGCUAGGAGUCUUUCCAGGGGCUCUAGGGGGGUCAUCUAGGGGCGCUAGAUGGGGUAGGUGUGCUAGGACUAGGGGCCUUUCUAGGGGUUCUAUAUUGGGUAGGGUCUUUAGGUUUAGAGUUUAGGGUUUAGAGUUUGGGGUUUAGGGUUUAGGUAGCGGACUAGGUGGGGGAAGUUGUGCAGGGGCUAGGGGCCAUGCCAGUUGCUUUAAGGGGGUCCUCUAUGUGGGCUAGGUGGGGUAGGUGUGUUAGGACUGAGGGCCUUGCAAGGGGCUAUAGUAGGGCCCUUUAGGCGUGCUUGUGGGUUCUCUAUGGGUUCAAAAAGGUCUAGGGGGUAUUGAGGGUUUACGGUUUAUGGUUUAGGGUUAAGGGUUUCCGAUUUAGAUGUUAGGGUUUAGCGUUUAGAGUUUAAGGUUUUGGGUUUAGGGUUUAGGGUUUAGGGUUUAAAGUUUAGGCUUUAGCUUUUAGGGUAUAUGGUUUAG
rnacentral:lncRNA from 1 species